GAUGAACGCUGGCGGCGUGCCUAACACAUGCAAGUCGAGCGAACAGACGAGAAGCUUGCUUCUCGGAGGUUAGCGGCGGACGGGUGAGUAACACGUGGAUAAUCUCCUUCUAACACUUGGAUAACUACGGCAAAAAGGAGCUACUACUGCAUAAUAUUUUGAACCUCAUGGUUCAAAAGUGUAAGACGGUCUUGCUGUCACUUAUAGAUGGAUCCGCGCCGUAUUAGCUAGUUGGUAAGGUAACGGCUUACCAAGGCAGCGAGGCAUAGCCGGCCUGAGAGGGUGGGUGGCCACACUGGAACGGAGUCACAGUCCGGACUGCUACGUGAGGGAGGAGUAGGGGAUCUUCCGCGAUGGGCGGACGCCUGACGGAGCAACGCCGGGUGAGUGAUGAAGGUCGUCGGAUGGUAAAACACUGUUAUUAGGGAAGAACGUAUGUGUGAGUAACUGGUCAGUUCGUGACGGGACCUAAGAAGAGAGGCACGGCUAACUUCGGG
rnacentral:rRNA from 1 species